rnacentral:rRNA from 1 species
GAUGAACGCUGGCGGCGUGCCUAAUACAUGCAAGUCGAACGCGCAGCGAAAGGUGCUUGCACCUUUCAAGCGAGUGGCGAACGGGUGAGUAACACGUGGAUAACCUGCCUCAAGGCUGGGGAUAACAUUUGGAAACAGAUGCUAAUACCGAAUAAAACUUAGUAUCGCAUGAUACAAAGUUAAAAGGCGCUACGGCGUCACCUAGAGAUGGAUCCGCGGUGCAUUAGUUAGUUGGUGGGGUAAAGGCUUACCAAGACGAUGUUGCAUAGCCGAGUUGAGAGACUGAUCGGCCACAUUGGGACUGAGACACGGCCCAAACUCCUACGGGAGGCUGCAGUAGGGAAUCUUCCACAAUGGGCGCAAGCCUGAUGGAGCAACGCCGCGUGUGUGAUGAAGGCUUUCGGGUCGUAAAGCACUGUUGUAUGGGAAGAAAUGCUAAAAUAGGGAAUGAUUUUAGUUUGACGGAACCAUACCAGAAAGGGACGGCUAAAUACGUGCCAGCAGCCGCGGUAA